GUGACCUCAAAUCAGGUAGGACUACCCGCUGAACUUAAGCAUAUCAAUAAGCGGAGGAAAAGAAACUAACAAGGAUUCCCCUAGUAACUGCGAGUGAAGCGGGAAAAGCUCAAAUUUAAAAUCUGGCGGUCUUUUGGCUGUCCGAGUUGUAAUCUAGAGAAGUGUUAUCCGCGCUGGACCGUGUACAAGUCUCCUGGAAUGGAGCAUCAUAGAGGGUGAGAAUCCCGUCUUUGACAUGGACUGCCAGGGCUUUUGUGAUGCGCUCUCAAAGAGUCGAGUUGUUUGGGAAUGCAGCUCAAAAUGGGUGGUAAAUUCCAUCUAAAGCUAAAUAUUGGCGAGAGACCGAUAGCGAACAAGUACCGUGAGGGAAAGAUGAAAAGAACUUUGGAAAGAGAGUUAAACAGUACGUGAAAUUGCUGAAAGGGAAACGCUUGAAGUCAGUCGCGUCGUCCAGGGAUCAACCUUGCUUUUGCUUGGUGCACUUUCUGGUUUGACGGGUCAGCAUCAAUUUUGAUCAUUGGAAAAAGGUCAAGGGAAUGUGGCAUCUUUGGAUGUGUUUAUAGCCCUUGGUCACAUACAAUGGUUGGGAUUGAGGAACUCAGCACGCCGCAAGGCCGGGUGUUAAACCACGUACGUGCUUAGGAUGCUGGCAAUAUGGCUUUAAUCGACCCGUC
rnacentral:rRNA from 1 species